rnacentral:rRNA from 1 species
UAAUAUAUUUAAAGUCUAACCUGCCCAAUGAGUAUUUGAAUGGCCGCAGUAUUUUGACUGUGCAAAGGUAGCGUAAUCAUUAGUUUCUUAAUUAGAAUCUUGUAUGAAUGGUUGGAUGAGAAAUGAACUGUCUCUAUUUAAUUUUUAUAGAAUUUUAUUUUUAAGUUAAAAAGCUUAAAUUUGAAUUAAAGACGAGAAGACCCUAUAGAGUUUUAUAUAAAGUUAAAUUUAAUAUUUAAAGAAUUAAUUUUUAUAUUUGAUUUUAUAUUUUGUUGGGGUGAUAGGAAAAUUAAAUAAACUUUUUUUUAUUGUGAACAAUGAUAAAUGAUUUUUUGAUCCAAUAUUUUUGAUUUAAAGAUUAAAUUACCUUAGGGAUAACAGCGUAAUUUUUUUAGAGAGUUCUAAUCGAUAAAAAAGUUUGCGACCUCGAUGUUGGAUUAAAAUUUAUUAUUGGCGCAGUAGUUGAUAAAUUGAGUCUGUUCGACUUUUAAAAUUUUACGUGAUCUGA